GACGAACGCUGGCGGCGUGCUUAACACAUGCAAGUCGAACGAUGAACCAGGGCUUGCCCUGGGGAUUAGUGGCGAACGGGUGAGUAACACGUGGGCAACCUGCCCCAGACACCGGGAUAACCUCUCGAAAGAGUGGCUAAUACCGGAUAUGACCACUUCGGGCAUCCGACGGUGGUGGAAAGGAUUCUGGUCUGGGAUGGGCCCGCGGCCUAUCAGCUAGUUGGUGGGGUAAUGGCCUACCAAGGCGACGACGGGUAGCCGGCCUGAGAGGGCGACCGGCCACACUGGGACUGAGACACGGCCCAGACUCCUACGGGAGGCAGCAGUGGGGAAUAUUGCGCAAUGGGCGAAAGCCUGACGCAGCGACGCCGCGUGAGGGACGAAGGCUUCGGAUUGUAACCUACUUCAGCAGGACGAAGACGAAAGUGACUGUACCUGCAGAAGAAG
rnacentral:rRNA from 1 species